GACGAACCGUCCGAACGUUAUUCGGAAUUACUGGGCUUAAAGGGUGCGUAGGCGGCGCGGAAAGUAGGGUGUGAAAUCCCUCGGCUCAACCGAGGAACUGCGUCCUAAACUACCGUGCUCGAGGGAGAUAGAGGUGAGCGGAACUUAGGGUGGAGCGGUGAAAUGCGUUGAUAUCCUAAGGACACCGGUGGCGAAAGCGGCUCACUGGAUCUCUUCUGACGCUGAGGCACGAAAGCUAGGUAGCGAACGGGG
rnacentral:rRNA from 1 species